UACGAAGGGGGCUAGCGUUGCUCGGAUUGACUGGGCGUAAAGGGCGCGUAGGCGGUUUGCACAGUCAGACGUGAAAUUCCUGGGCUUAACCUGGGGGCUGCGUUUGAUACGUGCAGGCUUGAGUUCGGAAGAGGGUCGUGGAAUUCCCAGUGUAGAGGUGAAAUUCGUAGAUAUUCGCAAGAACACCAGUGGCGAAGGCGGCUCACUGGCCCGGUACUGACGCUGAGGCACGAAAGCGUGGGGAGCAAACAGG
rnacentral:rRNA from 1 species